rnacentral:rRNA from 1 species
CAGUCGCCGCGGUAAUACGAAGGGGGCGAGCGUUGUUCGGAUUUACUGGGCGUAAAGGGCGCGCAGGCGGCAGAUCAAGUCAGAUGUGAAAGCCCCGGGCUUAACCUGGGAACUGCAUUUGGGACUGGUUUGCUAGAGAUCGGGAGAGGAGAGUGGAAUUCCCAGUGUAGAGGUGAAAUUCGUAGAUAUUGGGAAGAACACCGGUGGCGAAGGCGGCUCUCUGGACCGAUACUGACACUGAGGGACGGAAGCUAGGGGAGCAAAUGGGAUUAGAUACCCCGGUAGUCCCUGUCUCUUAUAC